UGUAAAAUUUAUUUUUAAAUAAUAUUUUUUGAUAUGAGCAUAAUUUUGAAAUUAUUAAAUAAAAUAAAUUAAUUAUAUAUAUUUUAAAUUUUAUAUAUUAUUACAUUUAUAUAUAUAUAUUAGAAAUAUAUUCUUUAGAAAUAAAUAUAUUAUAAUACUAUUUUUUAUAAUAAUUUUAAAUAGCAUAAUCAUACUUUUCUACCAAUCAUUUUAUUAAACAGUUUAGCAAAAACAUACACCUUCUACAUCAUACUGAUUCUAUAGUAUAUUGGUACUGCUUUAUCAAGUGCUCUGCCAACAAAGACAUAAAUGUUGGUUCAUAUCAAAGCUAAUAAAGAUAAGGUAUUAUAAAAAAAAAGAUCUAAAGAGUUAAAAGGAAGGUUGAAUAAUAUUCAGUAGACAAUUAGACGAGAUGGUGAAGCCUGAACAACACUUUAAAAAAUCAAAAUACCCAUUAUUGCGUUAUUAAACUGCCAAUAUCUAUAAUAAUAAAAGAGAGUUUUCUCUCACAUCCUCCAACCACAUCAGCAAUGUGCCUGGAGCAUUUUGUGACACCUGUCCCAUUUUUAUUUUUGAUGUCUCGACCUAUGAUUUUGUAUUAAAUCGUAGUAGGCCUGCAUAUUAUUUAGUUAGCCUCAUUACGAAGGCUUCGUUACUCUUUAUACAUUCAAAUUUUAGUGUCGAGGCCCAAUAAUUUAUCUCUACUCACAUUCUCUUUGUCGUCUCUUGUCGUCUCGGAUACGCUCGAGGCCACCGAUAUGCGAAACCGCCGACGUUACGGUUCUAAGGCGAUUAAGUAAUUGCUGUUAAUUAUGGUAUUCAAUCCAAGCAUCCUACUACUUGCUCUUCAAUUCAUAUACUACAGGCGUGUUCUUUUGGUAGACGCCGAAUGCUGCGGCUGUGUCCAAAAAAAUAAAGCACGGAGGCACAAAAAAUUAAAAACGGUGACGCCAUUAAUCUCAGCGUCUCUUACGGAGACACAAAAAGUGAAGCGCCGGUGACGCUAUUAAUUCCUGCGUCUCUUUCACCCAUCAUUGAUUGCCGCUGCGUCUGGAAAAUAAAUUUUGGAUUGCUGUCGUGGGUUUGGUGUUGAUGUCAUCAUGACUUCAUAGUCUUGCAGAAAUGGUAAUGAGCGGCGCAACGAAGCACUAGAAAAGCUGGAGAAGAAGUAUGAUCUGGUCGUUAACAUUCAAGGAGAUGAACCACUCAUUGAGCCUGAGAUUAUUGACGGUGUUGUCAAAGCACUUCAGGUAGCACCUGAUGCAGUGUUUAGCACAGCGGCGACAUCAUUAAAACCAGAAGACCGAGAUGAUCCUAACCAAGUCUAAUGUGUGGUGGACAACUGUGCCUACACUAUCUAUUUCUCCAGGGGUUUGAUUCCUUAUAACAAGGUUUGGGUUCAACGUGCUCACCGUCAGACCCGCAACGGCAUGAGAAAUAUGUUUAAGAUCGAGAUAGGAAAGUAGCUUUCCUCUCAGUCUCAGCUACAACAUCUAACUGGAUGGAGCUUAUUGUUUCACAUUUUCUCUAUCUCAUGCCAUUCGCGAAGGAUGGUAGCACAUGCGAUGGAGUUAUGGACAGCUGUAAGCGAUGAAGGAGAAGUUCUUGCACAUGAGGAGCAGCAAAAUUUGGGUGGAAUCAACAUGGAAGAUCUCCAUAGACUUGACUAUGCUCAAGUCUUUCUUCUAAUGCUCUGACUCUGAAGAUCUCAGGAAUGAUAACUAGAAACAUGGGGGAAAGGGUCGGGGAGUUUUUGGCUUCAGCAAGUCUGGGAUUAGUGCUGCUCAAAGUGAUUGCUCAACAGCUUCUUCAUUCUGUUGGAAAGCCAUUGUCUCAUAAAAUUCUCAUGGUCUAUAUAUAUUCUCCAAGCCAUAUUUGAAACAUAUUUCAUUAUGUACAUCCCUUUUCAUACUUUGACAUUGUCUAAUGGAAAGGCCUGGUGGAGCUGUUGGGUUCGGAAUCACAGAUAUCUGGUGGUCUUGAUUUUCUACAUAAAUAUUAAUCAUUUAUAUCUUCUGUUUUCUUUGCUAAUGAUUUUGGUUCGAUAAAUACAUGUCCUGAAAUCAGAGCCCAAAACUAUUGCCCAAAACAAAUGUUAAUAGCGCAUAAUAUGCAAAUGCUAAUUUGUCAACUCUAUUACAUAAGUGAUGUUGGUAACACUGUAAUGAAAUGAAUAUUAAUAAAUCUAUAACAAUAUAAUUAACUACAACUUAUUUGAAGAAACUAAAAAAAAAACUGAUUCCUAAUAUACGGAUAUCCAAUUAUUAUCAACUAAAAAGCAAGCAGAGUAAGAAUUGGAAAAUGUCCAAGUAAAUACAGAUUCCAGCUCCGAAACAAAAAUAUUAUAUCAAUACUAUCAUUUAGAUCAUAUGCCAAAUUACUAAACUUACAA